AAUACAUCUAUUUUAGCUUCUGAUAAUGUCCCAAUUAUUUCUAGGGAGUUGAACCUAAUAUUGACUCCUCUUCAGAUAACAAGCCCUGUCUUACCCUCUUAAGGAUUGUACAGGUGGUAUAUUGACUCCUCAUCAAAAUACAUCUAUUUUAGCUUCUGAUAAUGUCCCAACUAUUUCUAGGGAGUUGAACCUAAUAUUGACUCCUCUUCAG